GCGCAGGUUCCGAUUUCCCGAGAGAUGGCAAAGGCCCUGGCAGGAAGUUUACAGGGUUUAACGUAAACAAGUUCUGGGGGAUUCUUUAAUAAUAAUAAUAGAGAAUUCCGCGUGCGCAGGGCGGGAGGGGGGAGUUGGCCUAAUGCCCCUGUGGGCUCGGCCUGCCGCCGCCGCGGGGCCUCUGACACUGCGCGCCAGGCCAGGUUCCUGAGAGCAGACAGCGCGGGCUGGGAGCGCCGGCAAGGGCGGCCCUCGCGCACCUGGCUGCCAGCCCGCAGGGGGCUCGCACGCAGACCUGCCCUUGCCACCUCAGCGCUCGGGUGCGGGCUGGGGGCGGUGGAGCCACGAAAGGUGGUGCCGAGAGCGGAGCGCAGGACAGCGCAGGAGCCCCGGCGCAUCGCGGCGCGCACAGACCCAGGAUUUGUGAAGAGGUGACCCAAAUUUCAAGACAAUGUUGGAUGCAAACGGAUUUGCCAGCAACUGCAUCACUGUCAAAACCAGCUCUGCCCGUGUCUUCCGAAGAUACCAAGUGAAAUACAUGUAGAUGGGAUUUACAUCUGAAAAACCAAGGCAAGAGGCCAUGGGAAGGGACGGAGGUGGAACAGGACUGGACAGAAGCUGAUAAAUGGUUGUUGCUGAGUACUGGGCAGAUAGGGGUUGGUUAUCCUAUUGUCUUUACUUUCAUAUAUUUUAUUUUUUCUGUAAUAAAACAAAUUAAAAUCACCUGUCGUGACCUCACAGGGGCCAGUGUGGGUUGUGGCGUGAGGCAGGAAGCUCUGCAGAGUUCCUUGGUCAAAAGGAUUAAUUACAAAAGAACUCCAUGAACACCGAGAAGAAGAGAAGGGAAUCCUGGCAUUUAAAGCCACAAAGAAACUUGAUAUGGUCUUGUCUCCUUCUCUCAAUUGACAGUGAGAAACUGAAGACCAGAGAGGGUGAGUGGUUUACUCAGUUUGGCACAACUGACCCCAACCUAGCCCUCCAUGAGGACUGAGCGCAUGAGAGAUCCUGAGCCACAGCCGCCCAGCCCUGCUCCUCUCGAAUUUCUGACCUACAGGAACUGCAAGAAGUAAUGAAAGACUGCUGUUUAAAGCCACUGCAUUUUGGCAUGAUUUGUUAUGCAGUCGUAGAUAACCAGAAAACAUCGGAUUUACAUUUUAAGGAUUACUUCAUGCACAUAAAAGAAAACGCAACUACAGUGGACCCUGAACAACGUAGGUAUGAACUGGUUCAACACGGGUUUGAGUCCACGUAUCCAUUUAUAUGUGAAUUUUUUUCAACCAAACAAGGAUGGAAAUACGAUGUUCGUGGAUGUGAAACCUGCACACACAGAGGGCUGACUGUUGGUAUCGUGGGUUCCACAGGGCUGGCUGCAGGACUAGAAUAUGCACAGAUUUGAUAUAUUGAGGGGUCCUGGAACCAAGUCUGCGAGUAUAGCAAGGAAAGAGUGUGUAUAUCUUAUUCCUCCUACACAAAAGUUAGUGCGUCAUACACACCAUUUUGCAGUUUGGCUCUCCCCCUAACAAUAUACCUUGGUGCUCCUUCCCUGUCAGCCCCCACAGAGCUUCCUCCAUCUUGGUGGCAGCUGUGUGAUAUUUAGUCUACUACCAUUUAUUUAACCAAGCUCCAUUGAUGGACAUUUGGCUGGUCACACACCCUGGCUGUUACAUCCUGUGGCCUCUCUCUGUCCCAUCUUCUAGAUCGCCUCCACCCUGCUUCCCUUGUCCUCACACCACACUCCAGCCCAGGAACCAGCCAAGUAAAGGGAGUACCCUUUCUCUUUUAGAAGGUGGGGCAAGAGGAUGGUGGUGAACAUUUUCCUUCUUUCACACACACAUGCCUUGGCAUUGCGUUUGCCUGCAUGCAGCUAUGGCCUGCAGCCACUGAAGAAUGCUUGCAUAAGGAGCUCUUCUCUGCACAUACCCCGACACAGUGAUGGUAUCUUGCAGCUGCUGCUUCUGUCCAAGGCACUGCAGCCUACUCGUCAAAAGCCCGAAGCCCAGCUCUGCCAGCAGUGCACUGUGUGCUCUUAGAGGAAACAGAGAAGCAAAGAAGUUAGCAAGCUUGUUUUGGCAGAAGAAAAAACACAAAAUACCCAACCACAGAUCCUCAAAAAUAUUGCUAAGCACUAAUUUUGCUAACAUGUUAGACAGCCUUCGGAUCUAGGCAAUCUUGUUCCUCAGCUGGAAAGAGUUCCUGCCAGCCAUGUGAUUCCAAAUCCACCCUGGACAUAUGGGGAUAAUGAGAAAAUCAGCUCCGGCCUUCCCUGGCCUUCCAGCCAAGUGAAUGGGGGCAUCCCCUGGUGCUUCAGCCCGGGGCCCACCCAGAGGAUGCUAGCUGGCCUGCAGAGGCCUCAACCAUGCCCUCCUGGACUCAGGUAAGACUGAGGUUUCCAUGCCCUCAAAACAAUUGUUCAGACAAAAACUCACUGCCCAGGUCAAAGUCACAGCACCAGAAAGCCAACCUGAGGAUGAAGACAAAGCUCUUUGUUGGCACAGUCCCCUGAUCAUUCGAGGUCAGCAUCUCCAUCAAAAUGGACCCAAUGCUGAGGCAAGAAGGAGAACAUCACUGUUAAGAAGGUAAUGAGUCACAAAUGCUAUUUCGAUGGUUUUCUUUGAAAGAAAUACACAGAACCAAACCAAUUUUAAUUAAAGAUCUUGUCUUUGUAAUCAGGCAGCCACAAAUGAAGGCAAAACUGCUUUCAUGUGGCAUAAUAUACACAGAGCUGAACUAGUUUUCCCAUAAAAGGGCAGGUUCUUUUCUUCAAAUAAGAAAAGAGUUUGUUCCUAACAAUAUGGGGGAUGCAACAGAAAGCUGUCUUUUGCAAAGUAUAAAAUUGCAGAUCCUCCCGUGGAAGCCAUUUCUUGAUGCUAAACCAAUGCGAACGUUUGCCAAACGCACAUGCGAGCCGGGAUUAUCCUACCCUUUGAGAUUAGACAUGUGAUCCUGAUUUUUAAGUGAAAAACGCAGCCAGAGGCCAAAUAAACAUACCUACAAGUACAUCGAAAGCUCAAAUGGUUGAGAAAUGAUUGUAACACACCCCGGUGUGUAUUUCUGAGGAAGAAUCAACAUGCACAUGGAAAUUGAUGUUUUGAUUUUUAAUUUUAAAACGACGACAGAACUGAAAUACCUCCCCUAACUAGGUCCACUGAAACCAGUGAGGAGAUAAUCAUUUUCAGUUAAAUAUGCAUGUAAUUUAAUAAUCCACAGAUGGAAAAUGCAUUUGAGGUGGACUGAACACAGCCAGGAGUUUUUGCUUAUCGACAGCACUGAAUCCUGCCUUGACUAGAGAGACUCGUCAUGUGAUCAACUGUGGCCAGAGGGCAUCCUGCAGACAGCUCCUGUCACACCACACUGACCAGACUCUUAUGAGUAUUUAAGCAUCUUCAGGGAAGCGAUUGACUGUCUUAUAAUGGUCUUACAAGUACGGAACUUUAUUACCUGCUAAUAAUCAGAGCACAUGAUGGCACAAUAGAAUAUACGAGUGAAGUUCUAAAUGCAAGGUUGUUCUUAUUCUGUGAGUGGCAAAACUCAUGCAGUGAGCAGAUAAAGCUGGCAGGAGGCAUUGGCGCCCUAAUGCUGGGCACUAACCACCUGCCCGGACUGCGAAUAUCUGUUGGGUCCUUUCUAUAUCUGGUCUAUUCUCGUGUUUGAUUAUAUCCUGGUGGCAAGAAUAGCAAAAUCAACUCUCCUUCCUAUCCCAUGUGGAGAGGCAUGAUUUGAGUCAGAGAGCAUUAUCCUCUCUGCGUUAUCCAACCCCAUGUCCCAUGAUGCACUUUGUAGACAAGCAAGUGUCCCUGGUGGAGAAUCCACAGCCACACAUCCUCAUUGGUUGCAAGGAUCAGUGUCCAAUAUCUACUGCCAUGAUCAUUCUCAGUUUUACAUCCACAGAGCUUCAUAGAAUUCUAACACCACAGGUCCAAGUAGAGGUUUUGGCCUCAGAGUGGGCUAGAUUCCACCUCUGACAGCAGCUGUGGGACUGUUUUUCCAUCUGUAAAAUGGAGACAAGAGUAUCACCUACCUCAUGGUGUUGGUGGGAUCGUUAAACAGAAUUCCGAUCAUGAAACCCUUAGCCUGCUCCCUGCAUAGGCUGCAUGCGCUCAGUGAGCUAUGGCUCUGUUUCAUGCUGACUUUACCAUCAUGUAAGCAGUUUUAAAAAUGCUAGAAGCUUUAGUCAUAGAAUUACCAUAUGAUACAGCCUACUGCAGAGUCCAGAGGCUGAGGCAGGAGAGUUACUUGAACCUGGGAGGCGGAGGUUGCAGUGAGCCAAGAUCGCGCCACUGCACUCCAGCCUGGGCAACAGAGUGAGAUUCUGUCUCAACACAAAAAAGAAGACAUGUGUCCCCAUCACAGUAUCAUACAGAGUGCUUCCACUGCCCUAAAAUACCCUGUGCUCUUCCUAUUCAUCCCUCUCUUCAACCCCAGCAACCACUGAUCCUUUUACCAUCUCCAUGGUUUUGCCUUUCCCAGAAUGUCAUAUUGUUGGAAUCAUACGCUAUGUAGCCUUUGCAAAUGGGCUUCUUUCACCGAGCAAUGUGCAUUGAAGGUGCCUCUAUGACUUUUCAAGGGUUGAUAGCUCAUUCCUUUUUAUUGCUAAAUAAUAUUCCAUUGUCUGAAUGUACCACAUUUUGUUUAUCCAUUCACCUACUAAAGGACAUCUUGGUUGCUUCCAAGUUUGGGCAAUUAUAAAUAAAACUGCUAUAAACAUUGUGUGCAGGUUUUUUUUUCUAGAUGUCAGUUUUUAACUCAUUUGGACUAUAGAGCACUAUUGCUGGAUCAUAUGAUACGUGUGUGUUUAGUUUUAUGAGAAACUGCCAAACUGUCUUCCAAAGUGGCUGCACCAUUUUGCAUUCCCACCGUCAAUGAAUGAGAGCUCCGGUUGUUCCACAUCCUCACCAGCAUUUGGUGUUGUCAUUGUUUUGGAUUUUAGCCAUUUCAUAGGUGUGUAGAGGUAGCUCAUUGUUUUAAUCUAAUAAACAUCUUAUUGAAGAAUAACACACAAGCAGAAAAUUUCAGAGAUACAAACGAACAGCUUUUUCAACCAUCACCCACUGGAUACAGUUCUGUAUCCAGCACCCAGGCCAAGAAACUGACACUAACGGUGCCCUGUGCCC
rnacentral:lncRNA from 10 species